rnacentral:rRNA from 1 species
AACGAACGCUGGCGGCAGGCCUAACACAUGCAAGUCGAACGCCCCGCAAGGGGAGUGGCAGACGGGUGAGUAACGCGUGGGAACGUGCCCUUCGGUUCGGAAUAACUCAGGGAAACUUGAGCUAAUACCGGAUACGUCCGUAAGGAGAAAGAUUUAUCGCCGAAGGAUCGGCCCGCGUUGGAUUAGCUAGUUGGCGGGGUAAAAGCCCACCAAGGCGACGAUCCAUAGCUGGUCUGAGAGGACGAUCAGCCACACUGGGACUGAGACACGGCCCAGACUCCUACGGGAGGCAGCAGUGGGGAAUAUUGGACAAUGGGCGAAAGCCUGAUCCAGCCAUGCCGCGUGAGUGAUGAAGGCCCUAGGGUUGUAAAGCUCUUUCGCCAGGGACGAUAAUGACGGUACCUGGAUAAGAAGCCCGGCUAACUUCGUGCCAGCAGCCGCGGUAAUACGAAGGGGGCUAGCGUUGUUCGGAAUCACUGGGCGUAAAGCGCUUGUAGGCGGACUGUUAAGUCGGGGGUGAA